rnacentral:lncRNA from 1 species
GGCGGCGCCUGCUGCUUGUGCCGUGCAGCCGGUGUCACCUCAGGACAGCGCCUCGCGUCUGUGUACAGAGCGUGCUGCGGGCGCCUAGGGUAGUCCGAGGUCACCCCUCUCCGCGCCCCGCAGCCGCGCACGCCCCCACGCGCGGGGUGGGCGGUGGCCGGGGGUCGCCGAGUGGAAGGGCCACGCCCCCCACGCCCGGGCUCGGCACGCUGCCCCUCGGUCGCGAACGCGCCUCCGCCCGACCCGCUUGAAGGACGUCGCUGGUGGCCCAGGAGUGAAGCCCCGGCGGCUGCCUCCUGAGAAAAGAUAGCCGUGUUUAAAGAGACUGAACGGGAUCUUUGCUUUGCCGGGCGUAUUUUGUGAUAAAAUACCACAAAAUGUUGAGGCAAAAAUGAGUGGAAUAUGGAGACCGAGCCGCACAGACACGCAAUUGUAAGGAAACAUCUCGAACACCGAGUGCCAGGAAUAUCAACUGUCCGGGCCACGCAAGAGCCUGCUUUUUACCUGCCUCCAGCCCCCUGUCGUGCUGGUUUAAUCGCUGAAACAAAUGAAGUAGCAGGCCCUGGCGUAGCGCUUUGGGCCUUCGCCUUAUUAACAACUUUGUCAAGUCUCGCAUCGCCAUUCUGCCUUGUUAAUUUCCUUGUUUUUCGCUGUGGUUUUGGAGAAGCAAUGUUUUCCAUGAUCUCUCAGGCUAGCCUCGGAAUAAAACGUGGCAGAAGCGCUCCCUCGAACACAUACCCAUAUAUUUUAUUCUACCCAUUCCCUAGAGUCUGCUUACUUCAAAAGUCUAGAUACUCACACAGCUGUUUUACUUGCAGCAGUAUUUGAAGAGUAACCUUGGUGUCUAGAAAGGUCUGAGAAACUGGAGGUAAGAGAUCUGGAUUCAAAUCGCACCUUGGCCACUUCCCAAAAGACAACCGAGAGCCUCUCUGAGCUUGUCAGUUUCCGCAUCUGCAAAUUAGUGAUCAAACCUGUGGGGAUGAUUAUGUGAUAAAUAACAGUAACCUAGUUUAAAACUAGGCACGUUAUUGGAAGCUUUCAGUAAACGAAAUAAAAAGCCUUUUCGAAAGGGUA